GUGCCAGCCGCCGCGGUAAUACGGAGGGGGCUAGCGUUGUUCGGAAUUACUGGGCGUAAAGCGCACGUAGGCGGAUCAGAAAGUUAGAGGUGAAAUCCCAGGGCUCAACCUUGGAACUGCCUUUAAAACUCCUGGUCUUGAGUUCGAGAGAGGUGAGUGGAAUUCCGAGUGUAGAGGUGAAAUUCGUAGAUAUUCGGAGGAACACCAGUGGCGAAGGCGGCUCACUGGCUCGAUACUGACGCUGAGGUGCGAAAGCAUGGGGAGCAAACAGGAUUAGAAACCCGGGUAGUCC
rnacentral:rRNA from 1 species